rnacentral:rRNA from 1 species
GUUGCAGGGUAUAGACCCGAAACCCGGUGAUCUAGCCAUGGGCAGGUUGAAGGUUGGGUAACACUAACUGGAGGACCGAACCGACUAAUGUUGAAAAAUUAGCGGAUGACCUGUGGCUGGGGGUGAAAGGCCAAUCAAACCGGGAGAUAGCUGGUUCUCCCCGAAAGCUAUUUAGGUAGCGCCUCGUGAAUUCAUCUCCGGGGGUAGAGCACUGUUUCGGCCAGGGGGCCAUCCCGGCUUACCAAUCCGAUGCAAACUGCGAAUACCGGAGAAUGUUAUCACGGGAGACACACGGCGGGUGCUAACGUCCGUCGUGAAGAGGGAAACAACCCAGACCGCCAGCUAAGGUCCCAAAGUCAUGGUUAAGUGGGAAACGAUGUGGGAAGGCCCAGACAGCCAGGAUGUUGGCUUAGAAGCAGCCAUCAUUUAAAGAAAGCGUAAUAGCUCACUGGUCGAGUCGGCCUGCGCGGAAGAUGUAACGGGGCUAAACCAU